rnacentral:rRNA from 1 species
UACGUAGGGUCCAAGCGUUAUCCGGAAUCACUGGGCGUAAAGCGUGCGUAGGUGGCGCGUUAAGUGAGAUGUUAAAUCGUGUGGCUCAACCAUAUCGAUGCAUCUCAUACUGGCGUGCUAGAGGGAAGCAGAGGCAAGUGGAAUUGGUAGUGUAGCAGUGAAAUGCGUAGAUAUUACCAGGAACACCAAUGGCGAAGGCAGCUUGCUGGGCUUCUUCUGACACUGAGGUACGAAAGCGUGGGGAGCGAACAGG